rfam:Ruminococcus flavefaciens 007c Rf007c_contig00752, whole genome shotgun sequence.
GUGCUUGUAGCUCAGCUGGAUAGAGUGACUGGCUACGAACCAGUAGGUCGGGGGUUCGAAUCCCUCCAGGCACG